rnacentral:lncRNA from 1 species
CUUUUAAUUGCAGUUUUAUUUUAUUUUCUUUUCCAGUUAAGCUUCCAGCAAUUAAAUAAUUUUUCGCACAAUAGUUUCUACACCGGAAACUAUUGUGUACCUUUCACCGGAUCUAACCUUACGUUAGAAUCUAGUUUUUUUAUUCCUUCGCUUUUAUUUUUCUGUUUGAUUGAAGAAUUCAAGAACAAAUCCAACCGGCCUGUGG